GUCUAUGUAGUAUAUUAAUUAUACUGGUCUUGUAAACCAGAGAAGGGGAAAAAAACAAUUCCCCCAAAGACU
rnacentral:tRNA from 1 species